GCAGUAGUGGUUCAGUGGUUGAGUCUCUGGGUUACUGAUCAGAAGGUCUGGGGUUCAAUUCCCAGCAAUGAUA